rnacentral:rRNA from 1 species
CCUACGGGAGGCAGCAGUGAGGAAUAUUGGUCAAUGGUCGGGAGACUGAACCAGCCAAGCCGCGUGAGGGAGGAAGGUACAGAGUAUCGUAAACCUCUUUUGUCAGGGAACAAAGACUGGGACGCGUCCCCGGAUGAGUGUACCUGAAGAAAAAGCAUCGGCAAACUCCGUGCCAGCCGCCGCGGUAAUACGGAGGCUGCGAGCGUUAUCCGGAUUUAGUGGGUUUAAAGGGUGCGCAGGCGGUCUGUUAAGUCAGCGGUCAACUCCCGGGGCUCAACCCCGGCCCGCCGUUGAAACUGGCAGUCUCGAGUUGGAGAGAGGUAUGCGGAAUGCGCGGUGUAGCGGUGAAAUGCAUAGAGAUCGCGCAGAACUCCGAUGGCGAAGGCAGCAUGCCGGCUCCACACUGACGCUGAGGCACGAAAGCGUGGGUAUCGAACAGGAUUAGAUACCCUUGUAGUC